GCUAGGCGUGGUGGCGGGCGCCUGUAAUCCCAGCUACUAGGGAGGCUGAGGCAGGAGAAUCGCUUGAACCUGGGAGGCGGAGUUUGCAGUGAGCCAAGAUUGUGCCACUGCACUCCAGCCUGGGCGACAGAGCGAGACUCUGUCUCAA
ensembl:misc_RNA Metazoa_SRP Metazoan signal recognition particle RNA